UUAAUUAAAACUUUCUACACUUCUACAGCUUUGAGUUUUGCUGAUGAGAGAAAGAGUGAAUGAGAGAUUGUGGGCGAUAAGUAAGAAGUGUGGUAAUUAAUUUGUUUCUUAAUCUUCAAUGAACAGAGUACAAAAUCGCGCGUCUCUUUCUUUAUCAAUCAUACUUGUGUAUCAACAUGAAACAUUGUGAUUUAUUUGGCAAACUAGCACCGAUACUCAUCCUGAGUUUAUAUGAAUUGAUCACUUUUUGUCUCUACCAAUUGAGGAAAUGAAGGUUUUCACAUCAUAAGCCACCGGAUGUUGCUGAUGUGGUUGACUCAUCGAGAAAACUUCAGAGCCUGAUACAAAGUGAGUAUUUUUUUCUCUCACAUAUUUCCUUAUCAUUCCCAGAAAAAUGACGUGAAUUCACCAAUUGUGAUAAGUAUGUAAUAUUAGAACAACUUCAUAAUUGCGACCUUUAGUAUGAUUUUUAUUAUCCGUGAAAAAGGGACAUAUGGGGGUUAACAGUAAAAAAGAUAUUAUAUUUCCACUUUAA